UGAAGUGGAAUAAAAGGAACGAAUAAGCUUUUACACAGUUGGCUGGCACCAAGGAAAUUCUAGCAACAGGAUGAGGGGUGCUGUAGAAAUGCACAGCAGACAAAUAAAGAAGGAGAAAUGUCAUGGAUGAGAGAACCUCAGUGGUCAUCUUCCCUUAUCUUGCAGGUUGAGAAACACGCAAUAAAACGUGGCUGAACUGCCCAAGGUCACACUUCCAGUUGACAUCCCAAGACUCAGUGCAGUCCAGAGAACUCAUCCCCAGGCCCUGUAGAAGGCUGAGCAACCGUAAUCUGAAAAUCUGAAAUUUGAAAUGCUCUAAAACCCAGUGCCGAUUUCAGAGCAUUUUGGACUUCGCUCAACAUAUGCCGGCCCUGCCGAUCUGCUGGAUCAGCUCUGUAGUAUGAACUCAAGUCUCUUCCUGUGAAUGGCCAGUCUUGCACUUAAUAUUGCAGAUGCCGUCUCUCCCUGUGAUGCCAUCUCCAUGAGGCCCUCACCAGAGCCGAGCAGAUGCUGGGGCCAUGUCCUUGAAUCUUCAGGACUGCAGAGUGGACAGUGAGAGAGAGAGAGACAAUGGCUGCUGAGGCUGGUGCACUGCGCUGAUCCGAAGCCAGGAGCCAGGUACUUCUCCUGGUCUCCCAUGCGGGUACAGGGCCCAAGGAUUUGGGCCAUCCUCCACUGUCUUCCCGGGCCACAGCAGAGAGCUGGACUGGAAGAGGAGCAACCGGGACAGAAUUCGGCGCCCCGACUGGGAUAGAACCUGGUAUGCCAGCGCCGCAGGUGGAAGAUUAGCCUAUUGAGCCACGGCGCCUAUCCCCACCAUCACUGAGAAAUUAAGAAUUGUAACCUAUUUUCACAGCUGAGAAACCAGAAGUCGUUAAUAGCAGAGAAGUUUCUGUGGUUUAGA